CAAAAAAGGAUUAUGCAUCAAACAACGAAAUGGGCUACUUCUUAGAAAAAGUCCAUCUACCUUUGGACAAGUUGAGCGAAGUGCCACUUGUAGAUUGUCAGCAAUGUUUAUCGCGACUCGAAGCAUCUUCGCAUCUUUUACCAAAAACGAGAUAUUCUUCAGUCCAGAGAGCUUAUCUUGAAACUGUCUCUUGAGUGUCGCAAGAGUGCCGGGUUCUAUACUGGUGAGGUGAAAUUGUUUGCAGACAAAGACUGAUUGCUUCCAAGUGCUUGCAAGUCCGGUGGUGAUCCCUCUGGAGUUACGUCUGGAGUUCAGGUGGAUCUACUGUUUUCUUUAUGGAAGUUGGUGGAUUGAUUAGCAAACCGUCAGUAUCUAGUGUAAUGAAGAUGCUCUCUCGAUAGGCCAAAGGCAAGCUCGAAAAUUGCCACUUGGAAAAGAAAUUAAAGAUCGCAAAGAAAUGCUUGCAUGGAAAAGUGGAUUGCCUCCAAGAUUCGCAUGUGCAGCUCGGAAAUGAGAAUUGAACCAGAGCAUUGAUUGGCGAAGCUUGGUUAACUCGUCGUUAUACUGCGCCUCUGUUGCAACUCUGCCAAUUGUUGUCAUUGAUUUCUGGAGAAACUCUUGCUCACUCUGAUCAAGCCCGUUUUUCCCCAAUCUGACCCAACGCUGGAUUGCCUGCUGACGGUGGAAAUCACAGAUAUAUGCAAUAACACCAGGAAAGCACAUUUCGAUCGCCCCAAUUUCAGGGGCUGAAAAAUCCACCAUAAAGUAUUUUGGACUCCAGUCCCGGUUCCAUCCUCGCAAGAUCCCCAAGGCUUCGGAUAUGGAAAUUUCGUCCUCGUGUUGACACAUAAACUCAGCAACUACUUUGUAGCCAACGUUGGUGUUUACGCACAAGAAGAACAACGGCAUGGCAUAUUUCGUGGUUUUGUACGUCGCGUCAAGGAGGACAAGAUCGCUUCCAUAUUUCAGAAGAAGUUUUCGUUGCCACUCUUCGUGAUGAACAAAAAAAAAAUUAUCGCUCUCGUUAGUGGGCACGCUGGCACCAAAAUAGUUCGGUUCGCCCUCUUGGGUUCGCAGGAAGAAUCUUGUACAUGGCGAAGACUUUUUUAAAUCAGUUAUUUUUCGAAGAAGAGACUCUUGGUCAUCGUUGCAGUAUUUUCCAGCGGCAAUAGCUUUUGAAAUAUGAUUUCGUAGGUCAUUGGAACUCGGAUAGUAUCUGCGAUUUGUUUUCCUUGGCCACGUGUGUUUCGGAGCACCAGAAAGUAGCUCUUUUUCCACGAAUUCGUGCAGACAUCGUUUAACCUCCUUUACACCAGUGACAUUUUUCUUUGCGAGAUCAUAGAUUCGUUCGAUGAUUCUUUUGUGAAUUACUUGGUUUACCGACGAACUUUCUCCAACUGGAUGCCCUGAAUGCUCCUUGCUUAAAGGGAUUUUCAAGUAGUGUCGUGUAGAUGUCUUUAACGCCUCAUUUGAACCCAGUUUUUUUUUAAGCUCUUCUGGCGUUUUCUCUUUGGCCAUUCGGAUGCUGUUAGGAGUAGGCAAAUCAUUUGGUAAUUCAAAUUCGUCGAAUACUUCAAUAUGCCGUAGUUGUACAGCAACCGAACAAUUUAGUUUUCGCGUUCCUUGUAAUUUUAUUCGACGAUUCCUUCCAUAGUUGUGCUCGUGUACAGGCUUUGGCUUCCAACUACCUCUCGCAUCCUAUAUAUAGACUUUGGUAAUGAAAAAAAAAAUAAUUGUGUAAAAAAUAAUUGUAAAAAAAUGCGUUGUACCUUUUCAGAACCAUGUAAACAGUGUCUGAUCUCUGCUCCAACGAUCACAAAAGGAUUCCAAAAAUCG